CGCGUAGGCGGUGCGGUAAGUCACCUGUGAAACCUCUGGGCUUAACUCAGAGCCUGCAGGCGAAACUGCCGUGCUAGAGUGUGAGAGAGGCGAGUGGAAUUACGGGUGUAGCGGUGAAAUGCGUAGAUAUCCGUAGGAACAUCCGAGGCGAAAGCGGCUCGCUGGAUCACAACUGACGCUGAGGGACGAAAGCUAGGGGAGCAAACA
rnacentral:rRNA from 1 species